GAUGAAGAACGCAGCGAAAUGCGAUAAGUAAUGUGAAUUGCAGAAUUCAGUGAAUCAUCGAAUCUUUGAACGCACAUUGCGCCCGUCAGUAUUCUGGCGGGCAUGCCUGUUCGAGCGUCAUUACGCCCCUCAAGUCCCCUGUGGACUUGGUGUUGGGGAUCGGCGAGGCUGGUUUUCCAGCACAGCCGUCCCUUAAAUUAAUUGGCGGUCUCGCCGUGGCCCUCCUCUGCGCAGUAGUAAAACACUCGCAACAGGAGCCCGGCGCGGUCCACUGCCGUAAAACCCCCCAACUUUUUAUAGUUGACCUCGAAUCAGGUACGACUACCCGCUGAACUUAAGCAUAUCAAUAAGCGGAGGA
rnacentral:misc_RNA from 1 species